rnacentral:rRNA from 1 species
UACAGGGGGUGCAAACGUUGCUCGGAAUCAUUGGGCGUAAAGCGCACGUAGGCGGUCUGUUAUGUCGGAUGUGAAAGCCCUUGGCUUAACUGAGGAAGUGCAUCCGAAACUGGCAGGCUAGAGCACUAAAGAGGGUCGCGGAAUUCCCGGUGUAGAGGUGAAAUUCGUAGAGAUCGGGAGGAAGGCCGGUGGCGAAGGCGGCGCUCUGGAACAUUUCUGACGCUGAGGCUCGAAAGCGUGGGGAGCAAACAGG